rnacentral:rRNA from 1 species
GACGAACGCUGGCGGCGGGCUUAACACAUGCAAGUCGAACGGAAAGGCCCUGCUUGCGUGGGGUGCUCGAGUGGCGAACGGGUGAGUAACACGUGAGUAACCCGCCCUUGACGUUGGGAUAACUUCAGGAAACUGGGGCUAAUACCGGAGAGGAGCGCCUGCUGCAUGGUGGGGGUUGGAAAGUUUCGGCGGUUGGGGAUGGACGCGCGGCUUAUCAGCUUGUUGGUGGGGGAGUGGCUUACCAAGGCUUUGACGGGUAGCCGGCCUGGGAGGGUGGCCGGCCUCAUUGGGACUGCGGUACGGCCCAGAGUCCUACGGGGGGCAGCAGUGGGGAAUAUUGCACAGUGGGCGGGAGCCUGAUGCAGCAGCCCCGCGUGCGGAAUGCCGGCCUUCUGGUUGUGAACCGCUUUCGCCUGUGACGAAGCGUGAGUGACGGUAAUGGGUAAAGAAGCACCGGCUAACUACGUG